CCUAUCGGUCUCUCUCUCAUCUCUCAAUUCAAUUUCUCAAAUUUGGGGAGGAAAGCCCUAAUCCUAUAUCUGCCUCUCUUCGUGGACGCUGAGGGGUUUCCCCCACCACCGCCGUUCUCCACCAUCGUCGACAACAAUGGCCUCUCUACUCAUUUUCUUUCUCCAGCGAGGCCAUCGCUCGGUCGGAAACCGCUAUCGCGCCAUAACCGUCGCCGUCCGAUAGUACCAGGGAAGCCCGCCAUCGUGGUCGUUGCGGCGGUACACCGCCUUUCCACUUGCAAACGGGAUUCGAAAGCAGGGUCCGACGCCAACCGUGAGGUCUCUGCCUCAGUCGCCAUCGAGCGAGGCUCGGUGCACACCUCCGUCGCUCCAUUCGCUGACGCCCGCCGCCUCCUAACGAUCAGCGCCGUCGUUGACAGCUUUGCGACUGCCUGACUGCCUCUACGGCCUCAACUAAGCCUUCGCUCCUACUCUCUCUUGGCUCCGUUAAAUCGGGCAGAUUUGCUAUGUUUAUUUGGUUUUGUUGUAGUUUGGGUUUAAAGGGGAAAAGCUUCUGCAACUGCUGGAGGUACGAGCUGGAGUUAGGGUGGUUAGGAUUGGGGUGCAAGAUGCUGCAAUUUCCCUCCCUGUGAUCUGGUGCACUCGGCAGUCCGAGGUACUCAGGGACCGAGGCUGACGUCUUCUGAGUUGCCACCUCAUCGGUUUGGCCCAACGGCCGACGAAAAUCUGGGCCGAAAACCGUGCUAGAGGAGAGGCCUGAACUAGUAUCUCCAUAAUGUAUAGACUAGUGUUUCUACUUUGAAACCUUUCCCUUUUUUCUUUCCAUCUGUAUGAAAUUUCUACUAUAGUUAACGUAUUAUGUUUCCUUUAUUUUCAUCGUCAAGCAUUUGUAAUUUAAGACUUCGCCUGAAACUUAUAUAUUGUAUUUUCGUUUACUUACGAAAUAAACGUUAAACCUACGCUUCAUUUGA